UACGUAGGGACCGAGCGUUGUUCGGAUUUACUGGGCGUAAAGGGCGCGUAGGCGGUUCGUUAAGUCCUGUGUGAAAUCCCCCGGCUCAACUGGGGAACUGCACAGGAAACUAGCGGGCUUGAGUUCGGGAGAGGGAAGCGGAAUUCCGGGUGUAGCGGUGAAAUGCGUAGAUAUCUGGAGGAACACCGGUGGCGAAGGCGGCAUCCUGGACCAAUAUUGACGCUGAGGAGCGAAAGCUAGGGGAGCAAACGGG
rnacentral:rRNA from 1 species